GAGACUCUGUGCGCGUGCAUAUCAAUAAGCGGAGGAAAAGAAACUAACAAGGAUUCCCUAGUAACGGCGAGUGAAGCGGGAAGAGCUCAAAUUUGAAAUCUUCAAGGGUUUCCCUUGACGAAUUGUAGUUUAAAGAAGUGUUUUCUGUUAGAGAGGUGGUAAAAGUUCUUUGGAAUAGGACAUCAUAGAGGGUGAGAAUCCCGUAUUUGACCGUUACUUUCCAGCUGUGUGAUACACUUUCAAAGAGUCGGAUUGUUUGGGAAUGCAGUCCAAGAUGGGUGGUAAAUUUCAUCUAAAGCUAAAUAUUGGCGAGAGACCGAUAGCGAACAAGUACCGUGAGGGAAAGAUGAAAAGAACUUUGAAAAGAGAGUUAAACAGUACGUGAAAUUGUCAAAAGGGAAGCGUUUGACACCAGUGUUGUUUAGUUGAAAAUCAAUUCAAUAGUUUUUGAUUCUAAGUAGUAUUGACUUCAUCAGCUUGCUGCUUUCUUCUCAGAAAUUAUUGAAUGCACUUUUCAGUUAACAAGUCAACAUCAAUUUCUUUUGUUGUAAAAGGGUAAGAGGAAGGUGGCUUGCGCUUCGGCUCAAGUGUUUAUAGCCUUUUAUCUCUGCAAUCGGAGAGAUUGAGGUCUGCAGCGUAGAUCCUUCGGGGUUAGAUACAUUGGUGCUAAGCUAUAGCCUUGUAUAGACAACUUGUUGACUAUGCUCAGUCAUGUAGCUUACUCGCUGAUGCUAUUUUACCUACGCUUAGGAUGUUGAAGAUGUAGCACAUCAU
rnacentral:rRNA from 1 species